GAGUCGCGCUCUGCGAUCUACAUAUUUGGCACUGUCUAUUUCCGGUGCAUGCUGACGCAUGCACGCUGUUCUAGAACAUUCUGAUGUGCAGCAAGAAAGUAUAUAAGCAGUUCAAGGCUGCUGUUAGACCUUGGGAGUUGCAUGAGUUUAGAUCUAUGUAUCAGAAGAUCAAGAUGAGUAAAGAUACCGGUAUCCAGUCAGACGCAGACGCUUCGUUUACGUGCAGUAGUUUAGACAGACAGUACAGCACUUCCCCUGACCACUCUGAACCCUCACAUCUGUAGCCCCCUCUGGAGGAUAGAACAUCUGGUCAGUAAGAAAAAUCGAUGAGUGAUAUUUUUUUUUCUCGUCUCUUCUUCGUUUUCUGUUUUGCUCAGGUUGAGCUACACAUUUAAAGAUACGCAUUCCGUACCACUGAUUACCCUCAUAAUUGUGGAUUGUCUCAUUAAGUUUUAAUGAGGUUGAUUGCUCCGCUGAUUUUGUUUUUAUCGGCCAAUUUUGCCGAGAAUGUUUCUUGAAUUUUGAUGGCCAUUGCUGGUCGUUGUGUUAAAUCUCAGAAUACUGAGUGCGAUUAUUGCCCAGUUAUGUCUUGGCGGUACGGGUGUUAUCAUUGACACCACACUUGGAUGACCUUUCUACGAGGUGCUCAUACCAUCGCCUCAUCUCAUCUCCUCAAGGGAAGUUAGCCACGUCGCGGUACAACAGAUUUGGAGUCUACAACACCUGCAUUUUUAAAUAAAAUUCCCUUGCGGAUCAGUUUUCCUGUUCGGGAGGUUUUGGCUGGUUUACUCACGGAUUGGACUGUCGAUUCGGAAUGGAAUUGAUUAAUUUUGUUUAAAAACCUUACAUAAUAUUAUUAACAAAAUAAUUAAAACUAAUCAUGAUCGAGGACGAUCUUCUUUUGAAAGGAGAGCAAUGUAGAGUCGCGCUCUGCGAUCUACAUAUUUGGCACUGUCUAUUUCCGGUGCAUGCUGACGCAUGCACGCUGUUCUAGAACAUUCUGAUGUGCAGCAAGAAAGUAUAUAAGCAGUUCAAGGCUGCUGUUAGACCUUGGGAGUUGCAUGAGUUUAGAUCUAUGUAUCAGAAGAUCAAGAUGAGUAAAGAUACCGGUAUCCA